rnacentral:sRNA from 1 species
UUUCUUCCAUUCCAGAAAGGGAUAAACAGCACUUCCAGGGGGAGAAAAAAAAUCAUGUUAUCAGAAAGCAAAGAAGGUGAGGAGAAGGAGGAAGUGACCAUGGACACAAGUGAAAACAGACCUGAAAAUGAUGUUCCAGAACCUCCCAUGCCUAUUGCAGACCAAGUCAGCAAUGAUGACCGCCCGGAGGGCAGUGUUGAAGAUGAGGAGAAGAAAGAGGUAAACAUCCAAGCCACCUAUUGGGGCGGGUGGGCAGGAAUGGACCUAGGGGAAAGAGUAGAGCACUCUAGUGAUCCCUCUUACAUGGUGGGUUAACUUAAAGGAGGGAUGAGGCAGGGACUUGGAUCAGAAUAGGGCCAAGGGAGA